rnacentral:tRNA from 1 species
GGUUUGUGGCUCAGUGGUAGAGCACUUGCCUAGCAUGUGCAAGGCCCUGGGUUCGAUCCUCAGCACCA